AUUGAACGCUGGCGGCAUGCCUUACACAUGCAAGUCGAACGGUAACAGGUCUUCGGAUGCUGACGAGUGGCGAACGGGUGAGUAAUACAUCGGAACGUGCCUAGUAGUGGGGGAUAACUACUCGAAAGAGUGGCUAAUACCGCAUGAGAUCUACGGAUGAAAGCAGGGGAUCGCAAGACCUUGUGCUACUAAAGCGGCCGAUGGCAGAUUAGGUAGUUGGUGGGAUAAAAGCUUACCAAGCCGACGAUCUGUAGCUGGUCUGAGAGGACGAUCAGCCACACUGGGACGGAGACAGGGCCCAGACUCCUAGGGGGGGCAGCAGUGGGGAAUUUUGGACAAUUGGCGCAAGCCUGAUCCAGCAAUGCCGCGUGCAGGAUGAAGGCCUUCGGGUUGUAAACUGCUUUUGUACGGAACGAAAAGCCCUGGGUUAAUACCCUGGGGUCAUGACGGUACCGUAAGAAUAAGCACCGGCUAACUACGUGCCAGCCGCCGCCGUAACAC
rnacentral:rRNA from 1 species